UUUAUGGCGGGACGUGGUGGGGGAGCCUCACGGCUCGCUGGUUCCUUUAUCGCCAGUCUGCUAACCCCGCUACGUCUCGCCACCCA
rnacentral:antisense_RNA from 1 species